UACGUAGGUGGCAAGCGUUGUCCGGAUUUACUGGGCGUAAAGAGCGCGUAGGCGGCGCAACAAGUCACUUGUGAAAUCUCCGGGCUUAACCCGGAGCGGUCAAGUGAUACUGUCGUGCUAGAGUGCGGAAGGGGCUACUGGAAUUCUCGGUGUAGCGGUGAAAUGCGUAGAUAUCGAGAGGAACACCUGCGGCGAAGGCGGGUAGCUGGGCCGACACUGACGCUGAUGCGCGAAAGCCAGGGGAGCGAACGGG
rnacentral:rRNA from 1 species